GCAGCUCAGUUGGUAGAGCACGAGACUCUAAAUCUCAGGGUUGUACGUUUGAGCCCCAUGCA
rnacentral:tRNA from 1 species